rfam:Triticum aestivum genome assembly, contig: Triticum_aestivum_CS42_TGACv1_scaffold_423182_5BS
ACUAUACUCCCUCCGUCCGGAAAUACUCGUCGGAAGAAUGGGUGUAUCUAGAUAUAUUUUAAUUCUACAUACAUCCAUUUUUAUGCAUUUCUUCGACAAGUAUUUCCGGACGAAGGGAGUAGUUG